rnacentral:rRNA from 1 species
GAUGAACGCUAGCUACAGGCUUAACACAUGCAAGUCGAGGGGUCUCGAGGGAGCUUGCUCUUGAGAGACGACCGGCGCACGGGUGAGUAACGCGUAUCCAACCUGCCCUUCAUAUUGGGAUAGCCUUCCGAAAGGGAGAUUAAUACCGAAUAACAUGAGAAGAUUGUAUGAACCUCUCAUGAAAGCUCCGGCGAUGAAGGAUGGGGAUGCGUUCCAUUAGGUAGUAGGCGGGGUAACGGCCCACCUAGCCAUCGAUGGAUAGGGGUUCUGAGAGGAAGGUCCCCCACACUGGAACUGAGACACGGUCCAGACUCCUACGGGAGGCAGCAGUGAGGAAUAUUGGUCAAUGGGCGUAAGCCUGAACCAGCCAAGUAGCGUGAAGGAUGACUGCCCUACGGGUUGUAAACUGUUGUCGCAAGGGAAGAAAAAAUGACGGUACCUUGUGAGAAAGCCACGGACUAACUACGUGCCAGCAGCCG